rnacentral:lncRNA from 1 species
UUUUUUUUUUGGUUUAACCUAAUCUUUUCCAACUACUGCUACCAAUAAAUAGGUUUUAAUAAAGUACAAUGCUGAUGAUAUCACUUCCCUAUAAAAUCUUCAAAGGCUCUUUAUUACCUAUAAAAUUGAAUACACACUCCAUAGUAAAUUACUCAUUGCCAAAUUCAAGGACCAGUUCUCAGUCUUUUAUUUUAUUCAACCAAUCAAAAGCAUUGGCAAUUAAUCUCUAACUCAGACUUCUACAACUGGCCUCCUGUUUCAAUACCUACCUGAUAAUUUCUUUCAAAAACAGCCAUGGUACUAAGUCAGAUUAUGUCACGCUUCUAAUUACAGUCCUCUAAUGGCCUCUUUCUGUCUUAUGUAGGGUGAAAUUCAAAGCCAUUUGUGAUGGCUGACCCUAUAUCUUGUGGUUGGCCACCCACCACCUCUCUGACCUCAUCCUCUACCACAAUCCUCCAUCUUUUUAACCUACUCUGGCCACACCUGUCCUCUUGCUAAGGGACAGCAAACAUGCUCCCACCCCUGGGGCUUGGAAAUAGCAGCUCCUCUGACCUGAGCACUGCAUGGCUCGUUCCAACUCUUUCAAAUGUCUUUUCAGUUCUCACUACACUAGAGAGCUCUUCUCUCUCCGCUCUAUUUAACUAACAUUCCCCCUGCCUACUGAUUUAUUUCCUAUAAACAGGAGACUCUAGGAACAUCAGGAACCCUACUGUGCCAGCCAAAUGAAACCACUGCCUUUUCUCCAAGUCAUCCAUCAACCUUCGCGCCAACACCUUUGCUCAUUUUUGUAUCUUAACUAGAAAAACCUUUUCCUCUCUUUCUUCUCUUCCCACCUCAUUCUUUAAUUGCUUGCUAUUCCAAAUCUUAAAUCUUCAUCAUCUACACCCGAAUGAGUGUACUCCUAAGUGAGAGCUGGCAAAGAGACACAGGGUGACUGCCUAGGCUGACGGAUGGGUAGGAAGGAAGUGCCAGUUUGUCUAGAGUCCUCCGUGAUUAAAUGUCCCCAAUAGGAGCUCCCACUGUAGCACAGAGGGUUAAGGGCCCAGCGUUGUCUCUGCAGUGGCUCAGUCACUGCUGAGGUGCAAGGUGGACCCCUAGCCCGGCACAGUGGAUUAAGGAUGUGGCAUUGCUGCAAAUGUGGUGUAGGUUGAAGCUUGGAUUUGAUCCCUGGCCUGGAGAUUUCCAUAUGCCGUGAGCAUGGGAAAAUAAAUAAAUCAAAUGUUCCCAGCAGAGCCUUCCCACCAGCAAAACCCAUCUGCAACCCCUCUGCAGCCCCCAUGACACACACCAUGCUAAUUCCUGACCCUGCACUAUUUUUUCAUACCAACCAAAGUUCUCCGCCCACUGCUUUCUGCCAGUAUCAUCCAUCACAUCCUCCUUUUGAUGUAACCUUCACCUAUUUCUCGAAGUUUUCCUGUUUAACCAAUACCACAUUCCUAUCAUGCCUCUAUGGCCUUCAAUAAUAAGUAUAUAUAUCAUACAUGUUCGUCAUAAGGCCCAUGGGGACAUGGUUGAGGGCUUGACCACACUUGCUACAAUAUACAUGAAAACAUGACAAUACGUAUGCAUGAGAAUAUAUAAUGAAUAUAUAUGGGAAAAAUAAGUCAGGUUGUUAAAAAAAAAACUUACCUAUUAUAAAUAAUACCACUGACAAUGUUUUCUAAAGGAGCACAAUGAAUUAUUACUCGGCCAUAAAAAAGAAUGAAAUCUUGUCAUCUGCAACGUAUGGAUGGAAAUAGAGGUCACUGUGCAAAGUGAAAUAAGUCAGAGAAAGACAAAAACCACAUCAGUUAGCCUGUAUGUGGGGGAGUUCCCGCUGUUCCCAGGCUCAACAGUAACGAACCCAAAUAGUAUCCAUGAGGAAGAGGGUUGGAUCCCUGGCCUCAAUCAGUGGGUUAAAGGUCUGGCGUUGCCAUGAGCUGUGGCCAGGGAUUGAACUUGCAUCCUAAUGGAUACUAGUUAGAUUUGUUUCUGCUGAAUCACGAGGGGAACUCCUCAAAUACAUGCUUGUUAAAAAGGAUGAAUGAGUGGGGAUGGAACCAGAUGCGUGGCUGGAGCCAGAUCAUGAAGAGCCUUAAAUCUCUGAGUUCAAGAGCUUGUAGUUUGUUUGACAUAACAGAUACAUUAAAUGAGAUAAUACAUUUAACAUAGUUCCUGUCGAUACAUUUUAGCUUUUAUGAUUAACAUCUCAUAUCAUCACUAAGACACUGUAUGUAAAUCAACUAUAUGUCAAUAACAUUUUUAAAACUGAAAAAAAAUUCAAUUCUAUCCUGUUUUUUGACCAGAAGAGGGAGCUCCAAACAUUUAAACCUUUUUUCUUUCCUUUUUGUUCUUUUUUCUUGUUUUGUUGGAGUCUUCAUAAAGGUUGUGGUUUUUGUUCUUUAAAUCUUUUUUUUUUUUUUUUUUUUUUAGGGCCCCACCACACCCACAGGAUAUGGAGGUUCCCAGGCUAGGAGUCGAAUCAGAGCUGCAGCUGCCGACCGACCUACGCCAGAGCCACAGCAACACCAGAUCGAAGCUACAUGACAGCUCACAGCAACACUGGAUCAUGGACCUACUGAGCGAGGUCAUGGAUCGAACCCGAAUCCUCCUGGAUACUAGUUGGAUUUUGCCACAGCAGGAACUCCCUGUUUAAUUCU